UACGGAGGAUCCAAGCGUUAUCCGGAUUUAUUGGGUUUAAAGAGCUCGUAGGCGGUGUGUCGCGUCGGCCGUGAAAACCUGCAGCUUAACUGUGGGCUUGCGGUCGAUACGGGCAUCACUGGAGUUCGGCAGGGGAGACUGGAAUUCCUGGUGUAGCGGUGAAAUGCGCAGAUAUCAGGAGGAACACCGGUGGCGAAGGCGGGUCUCUGGGCCGAUACUGACGCUGAGGAGCGAAAGCGUGGGGAGCGAACAGG
rnacentral:rRNA from 1 species